CCUACGGCCACUUACCACUUACCAUCCAUUCUCGAUUCGACGCCACUCCGCUCUGCUUUGCCCCUUGGAAUCCCAACCGCAAUCUAGUCUUUUUCAUUUCUCCAUACAGAAUGGGACCUAUGGAACAAAAUACAAUAGCUUCCUAAUUGGUGCUUCUUCUUCAAGUCUUCUCCCUCAACAUUCCAUCCUCCUAUUGAUUAGAGAAAUGCAACUGAAAACAACUUCAAGUUGACAUAAUGGAGGUUCCACCGAGAUCUGAAGUCCCGGCUGCCUGAGCCCUCCCGCUAACGAGGACCCAAAGACUUGAGGUACCUCACAC